rnacentral:rRNA from 1 species
GCUUACGGCCAUACCACUCUGAACGCGCCCGAUCUCGUCAGAUCUCGGAAGCCAAGCAGGGUCGGGCCUGGUUAGUACUUGGAUGGGAGACCGCCUGGGAAUACCAGGUGCAGUAAGCU